rnacentral:rRNA from 1 species
GACGAACGCUGGCGGCGUGCUUAACACAUGCAAGUCGAACGGAAAGGCCCUGCUUUUGUGGGGUGCUCGAGUGGCGAACGGGUGAGUAACACGUGAGUAACCUUCCCUUGACUUUGGGUUAACUUCAGGAAACUGGGGCUAAUACCGGAUCGGAGCUCCUGCUGCAUGGUGGGGGUUGGAAAGUUUCGGCGGUUGGGGAUGGACUCGCGGCUUAUCAGCUUGUUGGUGGGGUAGUGGCUUACCAAGGCUUUGACGGGUAGCCGGCCUGAGAGGGUGACCGGCCACAUGGGGACUGAGAGACGGAGCAGACUCGUACGGGAGGCAGCAGUGGGGAAUAUUGCACAAUGGGCGGAAGCCUGAGGCAGCAACGCCGGGGGCGGGAUGAAGGCCUUCGGGUUGUAAACCGCUUUGGCCUGUGACGAAGCGUGAGUGACGGUAAUGGGUAAAGAAGCACCGGCUAACUACGUG